rnacentral:rRNA from 1 species
AUACGUAGGUGGCAAGCGUUGUCCGGAAUUAUUGGGCGUAAAGCGCGCGCAGGUGGUUCCUUAAGUCUGAUGUGAAAGCCCCCGGCUCAACCGGGGAGGGUCAUUGGAAACUGGGGAACUUGAGUGCAGAAGAGGAUAGUGGAAUUCCAAGUGUAGCGGUGAAAUGCGUAGAGAUUUGGAGGAACACCAGUGGCGAAGGCGACUGUCUGGUCUGUAACUGGCACUGAGGCGCGAAGGCCGGGGGAGCAAACAGGAUUAGAUACCCUGGUAGUCCACGCCGUAAACGAUGAGUGCUAAGUGUUGGGGGGUGUCCGCCCCUCAGUGCUGCAGCUAACGCAUUUAGCACUCCGCCUGGGGAGUACGGUCGCAAGACUGAAACUCAAAUGAAUUGACGGGG